rnacentral:rRNA from 1 species
UCUAGAGGCUUCGGCAAUGGGGGCAACCCUGACCGAGCGACGCCGCGUGCAGGAUGAAGGUCUUCGGAUUGUAAACUGCUUUCGAUUGGAAGGAACGUGGGGAUGGUGAGUCCCCGUUUGACUGACCGGUGAAAGAAGCCCCGGCUAACUUCGUGCCAGCAGCCGCGGUAAUACGAAGGGGGCGAGCGUUAUUCGGAUUUAUUGGGCGUAAAGGGCGUGUAGGCGGCUGGGGAAGUCUGGUGUAAAAACGCUGCCGCUCAACGGAGCGAUGCCGCUGGAAACUCCCCAACUUGAGAGACGUAGAGGUGAGCAGAAUACCUGGUGUAGCGGUGGAAUGCUUAGAGAUCAGGUAGAAUAUCCGAGGCGAAGGCGGCUCACUGGACGUUUUCUGACGCUAAGGCG